CAAAAAUAAAGAUGUUGUAGUACUACAAUGUUUUUCAACUGGACAAUUUGUGUCUAUUAAUGAAAAUGAUAAGGUUAUAUUUACAACCAGUUACUUAAGAAAUGCUCAGUUCAUUAUUCACAUAAAAAGCAAGGGUAAGUUUUCAUUGCAGAGUAUUUGCAAAAACUCUUUGUGGCUUAAAGUAGUGGCAUCAAACUUGGUCACAAAUUUAUGUGAAUGUGAACUUCAACUGAUACCAACACAAGACAAAAAGGCUACUUUGAUAUGUUCCUACCAGCAGAAAUUGAGUUACGAGCAACGGAGUAGCUUCACUCAGUAUCACCUGAUUGCUCCAGUA